CUUGACUAGCUGAGAGGAGGUGCAUGGCCGUCGUCAGUUCGUACUGUGAAGCAUCCUGUUAAGUCAGGCAACGAGCGAGACCCACGCCAACAGUUGCCAGCGUACUCUCUGGAGUGACGGGUACACUGUGGGACCGCCGCUGCUAAAGCGGAGGAAGGAAUGGGCAACGGUAGGUCAGUAUGCCCCGAAUAUCCCGGGCUACACGCGAGCUACAAUGGUUGGUACAAUGGGUAUCUACCCCGAAAGGGGACGGGAAUCUCCUAAAACCAAUCUUAGUUCGGAUUGAGGGCUGCAACUCGCCCUCAUGAAGCUGGAAUCCGUAGUAAUCGCGUUUCAACAGAACGCGGUGAAUACGUCCCUGCUCCUU
rnacentral:rRNA from 1 species